rnacentral:rRNA from 1 species
CCUACGGGAGGCAGCAGUGAGGAAUAUUGGUCAAUGGGCUUACGCCUGAACCAGCCAAGUCGCGUGAGGGAAGACUGCCCUAUGGAUUGUAAACCUCUUUAGGCGGGGAGCAAUGCCGGGCACGCGUGCCCGGAGGGAGAGUACCCGCAGAAUAAGCAUCGGCUAACUCCGUGCCAGCAGCCGCGGUAAUACGGAGGAUGCGAGCGUUAUCCGGAUUUAUUGGGUUUAAAGGGUGCGUAGGCGGAUUUUUAAGUCAGCGGUAAAAUGUCCGGGCUCAACCCGGGCCGGCCGUUGAAACUGGGGAUCUUGAGCGGGCGAGAAGUAUGCGGAAUGCGUGGUGUAGCGGUGAAAUGCAUAGAUAUCACGCAGAACUCCGAUUGCGAAGGCAGCUUACUAAACUGCCACUGACAUUGAUGCUCGAAAGUGUGGGUAUCAAACAGGAUUAGAUACCCCAGUAGUC